rnacentral:rRNA from 1 species
AGAGUUUGAUCAUGGCUCAGAGUGAACGUUGGCGGCGUGGAUUAGGCAUGCAAGUCGAACGCGAAAGUUCCUUCGGGGACUAGUAGCGUGGCGAAAGGGGCAGUAAGGCAUAGGUAACCUACCCUUCGGACUGGGAUAUACGGUGGAAACGCCGGGCAAUACUAGACGAAGUCACGAGUGGACAUCCUCUUGUGAUGAAACGGUUUACUCCGCCGGAGGAGGGGCCUAUGUACUACCAGCUAGUUGGUGAGGUAAUGGCUCACCAAGGCUACGACGGUUAGGGGGUGUGAGAGCACGACCCCCGCCACUGGGACUGAGACACUGCCCAGACUCCUACGGGAGGCUGCAGUCGAGAAUCUUCGGCAAUGGGGGCAACCCUGACCGAGCGACGCCGCGUGGUGGAUGAAGGCCUUCGGGUUGUAAACACCUGUUGGGGGGGAACAAACUUGAGUGAACCCCUGAGGAAGCACGGGCUAAGUUCGUGCCAGCCGCCGCGGUAAUAC